ensembl:lncRNA
CAAUAAUCCUAGACCCGACUGAAGGGGAGGACAUUGCAAAAGAGCAGGAAUACCAGGAGGUGGUGAGCACUGACACCAGCCUAGUGACUGCCUAACACAAUGGUUCACAAAAGAUGAAUGAGGUCAAUGUCAUUCUCAAAUUCAUCCUCUUUCCACCAGAGUGUGCAUCUAUAACCCUUUACAACUAAGGACCUCAAGCAACUGGCAAGGUCAAGCAACUUCAGUCAGGAAGGCAUCUUCUCAUCAAAGUGGGAAAAUAAAGGCAAAGAAUAUUGUGCUUCCAAGUGGGAUAUUUCAGUUUGAAAUAUAUAAUAUGCAAGAACAGCUGGCUAGAUCAAACUUGUAGGGGUUAGGGCUGAAUAGACUGCCCUGAAGACCAGGGAAGGUUGUGCUGAAAAUCAGCUUGAACUCUGUACAUGUAUGUAGCAGAGCACUGAUCACAUUACAUUGCAAUUAUUUCUCCAUAUGUCUAUACCCUGCUUUGGAGCUUGAGCUCUACUUGAAUAUUCUUCAUUUCUGGGCCACCAGCACCAAGCUCAAGUAUACAACUCUCAUAGAUACUCACUUACCCACUGAAUGAAUUCAUAGAUGAAUGAACAUACGAAUCAAUGCAAGGACUGUUGGAUGGUCAGUGAAACUUCGCUUCUUGACUCUGUCCUAACACAACCAAGAAAAUUGACAAAAGAUUUUCACCACUAUUUUUCAGAGGAAACGAAAUCCUCCAUGGGGCUUGCCUGUGAAAUUGAGCCAUGCAUCAUGACGUACUGUUCCAGCCAGGCCAGUCCCUGCUCAGGCACCACAGAACAGACUCCCACUGCACCUUCAAACUGCAUGACAAAUAAAGAAUCGCCCUGUCAGAAUUCCACCCUGGCUCACCCAAAUUGACAAAAAUUUUCUGAAUUACACUGUUUCAGGGCUCCCGCAUUGACAGGAGGCAGUCAAGCCUGACAGCCCUUUCCCUCUUGUCUGUUAUCUUGAAAUCAAUUGCACAGCCUGAUGCACAGAAUAAUGGCUGUGGACUAUUCUGCAGGACUUGGCCCAUCUGGUCACUAAGGAAGACAGCAUUGCUGGCUUCCUAUCGAUCUGGGAGGAGCAUGCUGCUACACAGAGGUGACCUCCAUCUCUCCACCUGGCCCUGCUAUUGAGGAAAUCAGUUUCACGAGUGAGCUCAUUCAGAAAUGAAAACAACUUUGCACCACAGCGUAUCCAUCUUUGUCUUUAAUUAAGAGCUCUUGCCUCUUUGGGAUUAAAUAGUGAGUUGUAAGCAAAUGAAAGGGCAUGAUUCUCUGCGUCGGGCACCAUAUUUUGUGUUAAGUCCCUUUAGUUAAAGUCUUGAACAGAUCAGACAUUUCAGUAGAGGGAAAUAUUAAUUUGGCUAUUUUAUGAAACUCCCUACACUUCAUCUUUGAAGAAAAUUCUUAUAUUAGUGGUAUAAUAUUUUUAUUAGCAAAGCUGAUUAAUGUUCCUACAAAGAUUAAUAUUUCUCAAGUUGGUUCUCUAGGAAAAUGAUCGAUUUAUACUUAAUUGUUUGAAGUUCAUUACACAGCCUACCUGUUUUACAUUUAAAAAGAAUUGCAUUAUUGGUGAGUUAUAAUAAAUGGACCCUGAAUCUAUGAAGGCUGCAAAAUGCUCCUGACUUCCUUAUUGGAAAGAAAGACGAAAGCAAGAAAAAAAGCAAGAAAGCAAGAAGAAAGAAAAACAAUUACAUGUUUAAGUUAGUAACAUUUUUGGAUGCUUAUAUUCCCACAGUUUUAUUUUUAUAGUUUGGUUUCUGUUUUUAGUAUUAAAAAUACCAAUUAGUAGCUGGCUUUUAUGAAACGUCUUCACGAUUCAGUCUGUAAAUUGCAUAUAGCAUUACAAAAGUCUGCUCCUUGCAUCUCCCGCCCCAUUCUUGUCCUCCUCUAGCAUAUUCACCCAGCUGCCCAAAGUAAUCUUUUAAGAACAUAAGUCAACUUAUGCCCCUUUCCUGCUCAAAACCUUCCGAGUGUUUCACAUGUCACCCAGAAUAACCAAACUCUCUUCCUCGACAAGGCCUAUAUGAUUUGUCCCUCCCUGUCUUUCUGACAUUGUCACCCAACAGUCCCCACUCUUGCUCACACCCUUCUAAACGGAGUACUAUUCUUGCACAGGCCCACACUUUUCACCUAACUGUGAAGUCAUGUGUUAAAAUUCACUUGGUCACAGAUGUCUAUUAAAAUAUUAAUAUAAUCUCAUAGAUUACAAGCCCCAUGAGGUCAAGAAUUUUGUAUGUCUUAUUUACCACUAUUUCUAAUGCCUAAUAAAGUAUGUAUUCAAUUAAGGCAGUAUUAGUCUUCCGUUAUCUCAUAUAAGUUCUAUUAAGACAAGGUCUAAAAGUGACUCAACGUGUUUUGUUUUGUUCAUCACUAUA